rnacentral:lncRNA from 13 species
AACUAUUUGGAAGAAAUUCAAGAUUUCAAGGACGCACGGAUUUGAAUUUAACUGGAGAGGCUGAGAGCUGAGGGGAAGAGUGACAUAAAGAGGAGAGAAGUUCAUUAUCCAGCUGAAAAGGAAACCAAUGGCUUUCACAGUCUCCAUGGGAACCGGCCUUUCUUUUGCUGUCAAACCUAUGAUAAGAAACCCUCUCCUUUCUCCCACUCCAAGGCAGCCCUUUUCAAACCGGGAAGCUCCAGGUCAGUUUCCCUUUCCAAGUUUUACGGCCUGCCAUGUUGUCCAUUCUGCUCAGCUAUUUAAAAAAUGUUGAAUAUCAACAAUGGCUUUCACUGGUGUAUUGUCAACUUUUGUAUGAAGCAAUCUUGGCUGAAUGAGAUGGGUCCCAGAGCAGGGAGGGCUUGGCUGCGGCAUGCACCGCAACACCACUGGUGCCUGCCUGGCUCUCUCUCUCUCUCUCUCUGCUGCAGGCAGGAUCAGGGAGGCAGGAGCAGCCGUCCCUCUAGUCCCUGUCUCAGCCCAGCCGCUGGGGUCUGCGUGGAGCUGGGAAAGCCACCCCCUCGUCAGUCCUCUCUGCGAACCCAUCCUCAUCCCAGGUUCCCCUCCCCCUGCCUCUGGCCCUGUCGUCUGGGAGCCCCUGAAGGUGUGACACCUCACACAGGGAUCGGCGAGCAGGAGCCCCGGGGGCCAGUCAGAGCUGGAUGA